rnacentral:rRNA from 1 species
GAACGGGGAUCGUCGGGUUAGCAAUAAUUCUGCGGUCCUAGUGGCGCACGGGUGAGUAACACGUCGGUAACCUGCCCUUGAGUUCGGGAUACCCCCUCGAAAGGGGGGCUAAUACCGGAUACGUUCCUCGGAUCGACAGGGCUGGGGAGGAAAGGUGGCGCAAGCUGCCGCUCAUGGAGGGGCUCGUGGCCGAUUAGCUAGUUGGCGGGGUAACGGCCCACCAAGGCUAUGACGGGUAGCUGGUCUGAGAGGACGAUCAGUCACACGGGGACUGAGACACGGCCCCGACUCCUACGGGAGGCAGCAGUGGGGAAUUUUCCGCAAUGGGCGAAAGCCUGACGGAGUGACGCCGCGUGUGGGACGAAGGCCUUCGGGUCGUAAACCACUGUCAGUGGGAAAGAAGGGUGUCGGCGCUAAUACCGCCGGCAUUUGACGGUACCUGCAGAGGAAGCCCCGGCCAACUCUGUGCCAGCAGCCGCGGUAAGACAGAGGGGGCAAGCGUUGCUCGGAAUUACUGGGCGUAAAGGGCGCGUAGGCGGGAUGGCAAGUCGGUCGUGAAAUCCUUCGGCUCAACCGAAGAACGUCGAUCGAUACUGCUGUUCUUGAGGGUUGCAGAGGAGACUGGAAUUCCCGGUGUAGCGGUGAAAUGUGUAGAGAUCGGGAGGAACACCGGUGGCGAAGGCGGGUCUCUGGGCAAUUCCUGACGCUGAGGCGCGAAAGCGUGGGGAGCAAACGGGAUUAGAUACCCCGGUAGUCCACGCUGUAAACGAUGACGACUAGGUGUUGGGGGGGGUUCAGUCCCCUCCGUGCCGCAGCUAACGCAUUAAGUCGUCCGCCUGGGG